CCUACGGGUGGCUGCAGUGGGGGAUAUUGCACAAUGGGCGAAAGCCUGAUGCAGCGACGCCGCGUGAGGGAAGACGGCCUUCGGGUUGUAAACCUCUGUCUUUGGGGACGAUAAUGACGGUACCCAAGGAGGAAGCUCCGGCUAACUACGUGCCAGCAGCCGCGGUAAUACGUAGGGAGCGAGCGUUGUCCGGAAUUACUGGGUGUAAAGGGAGCGUAGGCGGGAGUGCAAGUUGGAUGUGAAAACCAUGGGCUCAACCCAUGGACUGCAUUCAAAACUGUACUUCUUGAGUGAUGUAGAGGCAGGCGGAAUUCCUAGUGUAGCGGUGAAAUGCGUAGAUAUUAGGAGGAACACCAGUGGCGAAGGCGGCCUGCUGGGCAUUUACUGACGCUGAGGCUCGAAAGCGUGGGGAGCAAACAGGAUUAGAUACCCGGGUAGUC
rnacentral:rRNA from 1 species